rnacentral:rRNA from 1 species
AUUGAACGCUGGCGGCUGGCCUAACACAUGCAAGUCGAGCGGAUGAAGGGAGCUUGCUCCUGGAUUCAGCGGCGGACGGGUGAGUAAUGCCUAGGAAUCUGCCUGGUAGUGGGGGAUAACGUCCGGAAACGGGCGCUAAUACCGCAUACGUCCUGAGGGAGAAAGUGGGGGAUCUUCGGACCUCACGCUAUCAGAUGAGCCUAGGUCGGAUUAGCUAGUUGGUGGGGUAAAGGCCUACCAAGGCGACGAUCCGUAACUGGUCUGAGAGGAUGAUCAGUCACACUGGAACUGAGACACGGUCCAGACUCCUACGGGAGGCAGCAGUGGGGAAUAUUGGACAAUGGGCGAAAGCCUGAUCCAGCCAUGCCGCGUGUGUGAAGAAGGUCUUCGGAUUGUAAAGCACUUUAAGUUGGGAGGAAGGGCAGUAAGUUAAUACCUUGCUGUUUUGACGUUACCAACAGAAUAAGCACCGGCUAACUUCGUG